rnacentral:sRNA from 1 species
GCCUAGCCCCGAUAGAAACGGCAUCCUUUUUGUAUUGUUUUUUUUAACAAUACAAAAAGAUAUAGUGUAUAGCGGGAAUAGCU